UAUCUUUUGACUUCUGUAUUUCUAUUACAAAAUGUAUCCGUUAAAAAUCAUAUACAGUUUAAAAUAAACUAAAUCCAUACCAGCCCGUGCAAUGACCAGAUUUUCAUAAUUAUCUAAAUGGUUUUCAAAUUAAAUAUGGGUCACCCGGUAGAAAAGACAUCUUCCGCGGCGUUAGCAAAAAGCGCAUCAAGUGCAAAAAAAGGAAGCCGUACAACUGGGAAGAAAAUAUCGGAUCCUAUAAAUUUCUAUGACCCAAAAGUCCAAGGUAUAAUUUUAGCUGGGCUACUGGUUGUACUUUCUCUCGCUUUGUGGCUUGGUUUCAAGAAUGGAUGCUUUGGAGGAAGAAGACGCCGAAGGCGACAUUCUGAUUGUUCAUGUUCCACCUAGAAUCCAUCCACCCAUCUUAAAGAAUAACAAUGAAAGUACCUGUUCAUGUAUUUUGGCGUAUUUAAUGUUGCCUAUAAAUACCAAAAGAACCAAUUGUGACGACCAUGUCCGCACCUGCAAGAAAAUUUCAUAUCGUUUCAGUAAAAAUUGUGGGAUAAUAUGUAUUUUUCUAAUUGUGUCUACCGUGUGUGACCAUUUUAUCACCACUCCAAGGCACUAAGAGCUUUAUGCCGUUAACGUUGGUCAUACAAGUGUUCACUUUAAAGAAGGUUAAAUCAUCACAAGAAACCUAAAAUAAUAAUUAUUUAACUUUUUUUACUUAUGGUCAUAAUUAUGUUUAUCUCACUAAAAAAUCGCCUCAACAAUAAAAACAAUCACACUUUGAA